ACUGGCCCGUGACGCAGGCGCGGUUGGAAAGAAGCUGAGGACUGGAUGUGCGGAAACCAGAUUCCUGCAGAAUAAGCAUGCAAUUGGCUCAUCCGACAUAUCCAGUGAGAUUAUCCUUGAUUGGCAGAAUGCUAGUUCCACACUUCCUACAAGAACACUGGCUACUCUACAGAUACUCUCUAUAUUCUGGGAAAAGAUUUCAGGAUCAUAUAAUAUAAAGUAAGGAGAACUCUAUGUAUUUCUUCCCAACAUGGAUAUUCUGAUGUUUUCAUGAGAAAGCAUCAGUCAAACCCAAAUUGAGAGAUAUAAUGAAUAAAUCUAUGCUUUUUAGAAAUGGCAAUACCACAAGAGACAAACCAAGGCUGAGGGACUCAUCUUGAUGAAGACAAAAAAAGACAUGACAACUAAAUAAGAUUUAUGAUUCCAAAUUGGAUCCUGAGCCAGAAAAAAAAAAUGCCAUAUUGGGCCUACCAGUAAAAAUGUAAAAGAACUACAGGUUAGAUAAUAGUAUUGUAUUGAUGUUAAGUUUCCUAAUUUUGAAGAUUGUACAAAAGUCAUGUAAGAGUAUGCCCUUUUCUAUUAGGAAAUGCACUGUGAUGGUUAAUAUUGAAUGUCAACUUCAUUGGAUUGAAGGAUGCAAAGUAUUGUUCCUGGGUGUGUCUGUGAAGGUGUUGCCAAAAGACAUUAACAUUUGAGUCAGUGGACUGGGAGAGGCAGACCUACCCUCAAUCUGGGUGGGCACCAUCUAAUGAGCUGCCAGGGCGGCUAGGAUAAAAGCAGGCAGAGGAACAUGGAAGGACUAAACUGGCUGAGUCUUCCGGCCUUCAUCUUUCUCCCAUUCUGGAUGCUUUCUGCC
rnacentral:lncRNA from 1 species